CGACAGAUUUGGAUUUUAAAAAGUUUGUGCGAGAUGGAUGCCGAAAAAGCUGAUGAAAAGGUGAAGACGACGAUGCAUUCGUGGUUCGCAGCUCAGCCCAAAACAUUUUUUAAUGAGAAAAUACAAAGGUCCUUCGGCAAAUGGACAAAGUGUAUACAGAAAUCGAGUGAUUAUGUCAAAAAAUGAUGUAUGUCUUUUUUGACAAUUGCUUAAAAUAAAUUCUACACCGACAGAGCGGGUAACUUUUUACUCACCCUCGUAAGACACUUAAAUUUCCAAUCUAUUAUGAUGAAUAAAAGAGCUUAUACUAUUAAAUCUAAUUGUAUUUUGUUGCAUGAGAGUACACGUGUAUGUGAUGUACAUUACCUUUAUAUCCCCUUGAACGCUUCAAUAUUGCGCAUAUAUACUAUAUUUUGUACAGCUUCUAUAAAAUUUCGUAUGUUUGUUUAGGCUGUUAAUCUAGAGGCUGGAGUACAAAGAAGUGGCACAAUGAUGUGGGCUGAUGACAUUUAUAAUUAUCAAGGAAUCACCCCUACAUUCGCUCAGAAUUUUAAUGAAACUGUCCCUUGGGAAGGAAGAACUGAUACCUUGAUAUCACGGUUUGUACAUCCUAUAUAUACGACAAAUUUUAGAACAUUAUAUAACGAAGAACCAGAUCGUCGUGGCCAUGUGAUGUGAAUAAAAGGACUUGAAUUUGAUGAUAUUUUUAUAAUGUUAGAUAACAUAACUAAGUAUCUUCACAGUAAGAUAGGAUGACAUGGUUUACAUGAUCUUAAUGUUGUUCACUCGAGUGAUGAUAUUAUAAGGAAAAGCGUAAUAUCACAGGAUAUUUAUGUUUAGUAACCAGUAAUUCAGAGAUUGGUAUUCAUGGUUACUAUAACGAGGCUGUAGAAACGCACCCUUUCUUCUUUGCAAAUGGUCCUGUAUUUAUGUCUAAGCCGAAACUGGAACCUCUGAAUAAUUUAGAUUUAUUCUUGUUAUUUUCUAAAAUACUUAUCUACAGUAUACCAUAAGGAAUGAUACCGUAUCGCACCUAAUCAAGUGCCUUAAGAAACAUCAACAGGA